UUCUUGGAAAAGACCCCAGAAGCACAGGCAGUCAAAGCCAAAAUUAACUAUUGGGAUUGCAUCAAAUUGAGAAGUUUCUGUACUUCAAAAGAUACAGUCAGGAAAGUGAAGAGGCAACCGACAGAAUGGGAAAAUAUAUUUGCAAACUAUGCAACAGAUAAAGGGUUGAUAACCAGAAUUUACAAAGAAAUCAAGAAACUCCACAACAUCAAAACAAACAACCCACUUAAGAGAUGGGCCAAGUGCCUCAAUAGACAUUUUUCAAAAGAGGAAAUCCAAAGGGCCAACAGACACAUGAAAAAAUGUUCAAGAUCACUAGCAAUCAGGGAAAUGCAAAUCAAAACCACAAUGAGGUUUCACCUCACCCCAGUUAGAAUGGCUCACAUUCAGAAAUCUACCAACAAUAGAUGCUGGAGAGGAUGUGGGGAAAAAGGGACACUAACCCACUGUUGGUGGGAAUGCAAACUGGUUUAGCCACUAUGGAAGUAGUCUGGAGAUUCCUCAGAAACCUGAUUAUAUCCCUACCAUACAACCCAGCCAUACCACACCACUCCUUGGAAUUUACCCAAAGGAAACGAAAUUGGCAAACAAACAAGCUGUCUGCACAUUAAUGUUUAUCGCAGCUCAAUUCACAAUAGCUAAGACCUGGAAUCAACCUAAAUGCCCAUCAAGAGUAGACUGGAUAAAGAAAUUAUGGGAUAUGUACUCUACAGCAUACUAUACAGCAGUCAAAAACAAUGAAACCCGGUCAUUUGCAACAAGAUGGAGGAAUUUGGAAAACAUCAUGCUGAGUGAAUUAAGCCAGUCCCAAAGGGACAAAUAUCAUAUGUUCUCGCUGAUGGGCAACAACUAACUGAACACCAAAGGGGAGACCUGUUGAAGUGAAAUGGACACUAUGAGAAACGGUGACUUGAUCAGCUCUUGUCCUCACUGUUGAUGUACAAUUUAAUAUUUUAUCCCUUUUAGUAUUUUUUUUGUUCUAGUACUAUUGGUUGAACUCUGUAAUUAACACACAGUUAUUCCUAGGUGUUUAAAUUUUAACUGAAAAGUGAUCCCUGUUAAAUAUAAGAGUGGGAAUAAGAGAGGGAGGAGAUGUACAAUUUGGUACAUGCUCAAUCGGACUUGCCCCAAAUGGUGGAGUUAGAAAUGUGCCAGGGGAUUCCAAUAAAAUCCCAUCAAGGUGGCAUGUACCAAUGCCAUCUCACUAGUCCAAGUGAUCAACUUCAGUUCAUAGUUGAUCACACUGAUAGGUCUGAGAGUCAAAGGGAUCACACAAACAAGACUAGUGUCUGCUAAUACUAACUGAUAGAAUCAAAAACGGAGAGAACGAUCCAACAUGGGAAGUGGGAUACACAGCAGACUCAUAGAAUGGCAGAUGUCCUAAAUAGCACUCUAGCCUCAGAAUCAGCCCUUAAGGCAUUCGGAUCUGGCUGAAGAGCCCAUGAGAGUAUUUUAGGCAUGGAAUGCCAAGACACUCUGGCAAAAAAAAAAAAAAGAAAAAAAAAGAAGAAGACCUAAAUGAAAGAUCUCUGCGAGUGAGAUCCCAGUGGAAAGAAUGGGGCCAUCAAAGAAGGAAGUACCUUUCUCUGAAGGGAGGAGAGAACUUCCACUUUGACUAUGACCUCAUUUAAAUAAGAUCGAAGUCGGUGAACUCAAAAGGCUUCCAUAGCCUUGGCAACUCAUGACUAGAGCCUAGGGAGAUUACUGAUGCCAUAAACAAGAGUGUCAAAUUGUUAAGUCAACAACAGGAGUCACUGUGUACUUACUUCUCAUGUGGGAUCUGUCCUUAAUGUGUUGUCCAUUGUGAAGUAAUGCUAUAACUAGUACUGAAACAGUAUUUUUACACUUUCUGUUUCUGUGUGGGUGCAAACUGAUGAAAUCUUUGCUUAAUAUAUACUGAAUCGAUCUUCUGUAUAUAAAGAUAAUUGAAAAUGAAAAAAACACAACUGUGUACAAGGCAUCCAUAUUAUCAUGGUGAAUGAAGAGACAGAUAAGGCAUAGUCCUCAAGGAGCUAAUAAUCUAGUUAAAAAUAUUAUAUUUAGGGGCCAGUGUUCUGGUGUAAUGGGUUAAGUUGCCACCUGCAUCCUUGGCUUUCUCAUAUUGAGUUCAAGUCCCACCUGCUCUAAUUCCUUUCCUGCUCCCUGCUAAUGUGCCUUGGAAAAGCAGCAGAAGAUGGCCCAAGUCCUUGGACCCCUGCAUUUAUGUGGAUGAAGCUCCUGGUUCCUGUCUUCAGGCUGGCCCACCACCAUCCUUUAAGUUAGGAUUUGUGAAAGCUCUAUUAUCGAUGUCAACCACGUGUUUCCUAGUAAAAGAGAGACUUGAUUGGAAAUCAGGACACUUUUCCUACUCCGUGUGCCACUGCCUUAAUCAGCUGUGAAGAUGGCAGAAUGGUUGUACUCAGCUGAGAACUGCAGAUAGGGAGCCAUGAUCAGAAGAGCAGCUGACAAAGGAGCCCUGACCUUGCAGUUUUCUGGGGACUGCUGUGGCCUGGUAAAGGUCCUCCACAGAGAGAACACUGCUACACAUCUUGACUUUGUUAAUAAAAUGCAGAUUCCCACCUGAUUCCAAGGUGAGUUAACACUCCUCUCUCCAGUCCCCCAGUACCAAAGUGAUGAUUACGAACUCUGAGAAGCACAAGCUAUGCUAAGUGCUUCAUACGAAUUGGUCAACAAACCUCGAGGCUGGUGUUAACCUUCAUUUCACAGGUGAAAUAGAGAGUUGCAGUCAUUGGCUCCAAAUCACAAAGCUACUUCCUGGCAGAGCUAGAAGGUGACAGGAGGCUGUCUACUACCCUAGUCCAUGCCUGUGAAGAGCACUCCAGACGGCUUCCACCACUACUUCCACGUUAUUCAUUCCCCUAUCAGACUGGACGUGUGAGAAAGCUUGUUUUGGACACCAAAAGCAAGACACUACCUGGUUAUGUCAAAAUCCUUCACUCAGUACUUGAUUCAACACACAGAAGGGAUCCUUGUGUAGGGCCAAAUGUUGUGGUGAAUUCCAAGAUGAGCCAGACGGAAUCCUCACCCUCAACAAUCUCCUGGUCUCAAAUUUGCACUCACAAUGAUUAAGCACAGUCAAUAUGCAUUGGUGUCCCAGGUAAGCUUUGGAAUGGGUGCAAUGGAGGUUUCCGGGGAGGAGAG